UUCCAGGGGCGGGAAUCGAACCCACAACGUUCCGCUCAGUGCUGUAGUCGUAAAAUUAGCAUAGGGUAUACGCUUGAGAAUUCGUUUUCCGUUUUUCGUUAAAGGAGGCUUGUUUGAUUAUUAAUUUGAAUAUAGUUGAUAUAUUUUUUCCAAGAAAUUUUUACUAAAUGAAUGAAAUAUUUUGUGUGAAUUGUUAAUUUGAAAAUUUUUUGCAAUUUUUCAGUACAAUUUUUAUCAUCAUUUUUUUUUUACUAUUACAAAGAAAGAAAAUAAUAAAUUUUAAAUAAAAAAUUUGAACAAAAUCAUAGGGUAUACGCUAUUUUUAAGUAAAACCACUAGGUAUACGCUAUCUAAAUUUAAAAAGCAUUGGGUAUACGGCGUAUACCCCCGUAUACCCUCCACUACAGCACUGGUUCCGCUUACCGGGCAGAUGCCAUGUCCACUAGGCUACCCUGGA